CUUGCGUUAGCUCAAUGGUAGAGCGCCCGGUUUGGGACCGGGAGGUUGAGGGUUCAAGCCCCUUGCGCGAGACCA
rnacentral:tRNA from 1 species